UGUGCAAUUGCUGCUAUGUGCAAUUGCUAUUAAGUCCAUCCAAUCCUUCUUUAUAUUAUAAAAUGCUAAAAAAUCCUGGUUCUUUACCAGUGUAUCUUAGGACACACAAAUUGGUCAAUGGUGGUUUUAGGAAAAGACUCGACUGCAUGCCCAUUCUUACCAGUCACUAAGGUGAUUAAAGGCCUUUUAGUCUCAAGGGUUUACAGUCAGAACACAACACAUAUGGAUGGAGCCAUGAAAAAUGACAAUGAAUACUAUAUACACUGGAGGCAGUGCCACACAUCAAGAACCAUACUGGAUCCCCCUCACACCAGUUGCAGGCACAAGUCCCUCAAUACUUGCACAUCAGAAACAAAACAUAGAUGGACAUGCAAAAGAUACCAAAUCCCUUGAAACUAACCAAGUGAUCACUGCAUCAAAAACUAUAUAUAAAAAGCCAGGUUAAUCCACAACUGGGUCAGUCCCCCCCACAAUAUGUCAGCAAU